rnacentral:rRNA from 1 species
UCGGUCCCUAUCUGCCGUGGGCGUUGGAAGAUUGAAAGGGGCUGCUCCUAGUACGAGAGGACCGGAGUGGACGCACCACUGGUGUUCGGGUUGUCAUGCCAAUGGCAUUGCCCGGUAGCUAAGUGCGGAAGAGAUAACCGCUGAAAGCAUCUAAGCGGGAAACUUGCCUUGAGAUGAGUCUUCCCUGACCCUUUAAGGGUCCUAAAGGAACGUUUAAGACUAAGACGUUGAUAGGUUGGGUGUGUAAGCAUAGCGAUAU